GCCACACUGCAGUCGAGCGGAGAAAGGAGCUUGCUCCUGGAUUCAGCGGCGGACGGGUGAGUAAUGCCUAGGAAUCUGCCUGGUAGUGGGGGACAACGUUUCGAAAGGAACGCUAAUACCGCAUACGUCCUACGGGAGAAAGCAGGGGACCUUCGGGCCUUGCGCUAUCAGAUGAGCCUAGGUCGGAUUAGCUAGUUGGUGAGGUAAUGGCUCACCAAGGCGACGAUCCGUAACUGGUCUGAGAGGAUGAUCAGUCACACUGGAACUGAGACACGGUCCAGACUCCUACGGGAGGCAGCAGUGGGGAAUAUUGGACAAUGGGCGAAAGCCUGAUCCAGCCAUGCCGCGUGUGUGAAGAAGGUCUUCGGAUUGUAAAGCACUUUAAGUUGGGAGGAAGGGUUGUAGAUUAAUACUCUGCAAUUUUGACGUUACCGACAGAAUAAGCACCGGCUAACUCUGUGCCAGCAGCCGCGGUAAUACAGAGGGUGCAAGCGUUAAUCGGAAUUACUGGGCGUAAAGCGCGCGUAGGUGGUUCGUUAAGUUGGAUGUGAAAUCCCCGGGCUCAACCUGGGAACUGCAUCCAAAACUGGCGAGCUAGAGUAUGGUAGAGGGUGGUGGAAUUUCCUGUGUAGCGGUGAAAUGCGUAGAU
rnacentral:rRNA from 1 species